rnacentral:rRNA from 1 species
UUUAAAGGGGAAAAUGUAACAAGGUUUCCGUAGGUGAACCUGCGGAAGGAUCAUUA